UUUAUUUGCCCUAACUUUUGCCUGAGAUUUUUUAUUGAGGAUUCUCAGCGGGCCUUUUGUAUAUUUUUUCCUUUUGUUUUUUUAUGUUAUUUUGCACUUUGACCGAUGAACUUUUUUAUUUGAAUUGCUUAGGAUUUUUAACCCUCGGGUUAGAUUUGGAAAUAGUAGAGUGUAUUUAUUUCUUAACAAUUGAAUGUCAAGGAAAACAGUUGAGAUACUACCCUACCCAAGGUUAUUGAUAUUUUGC
rnacentral:lncRNA from 1 species